rnacentral:rRNA from 1 species
CCUACGGGAGGCAGCAGUGAGGAAUAUUGGUCAAUGGGCGGAAGCCUGAACCAGCCAAGUCGCGUGAGGGAAUACGGCCCUACGGGUUGUAAACCUCUUUUGCCGGGGAGCAAGGGCCGGGACGUGUCGCGUCACGGAGAGUACCCGGAGAAAAAGCAUCGGCUAACUCCGUGCCAGCAGCCGCGGUAAUACGGAGGAUGCGAGCGUUAUCCGGAUUUAUUGGGUUUAAAGGGUGCGUAGGCGGACUGUUAAGUCAGCGGUAAAAUUGCGGGGCUCAACCCCGUCCGGCCGUUGAAACUGGGGGUCUUGAGUGGGCGAGAAGAAGGCGGAAUGCGUGGUGUAGCGGUGAAAUGCAUAGAUAUCACGCAGAACCCCGAUUGCGAAGGCAGCCUUCCGGCGCCCUACUGACGCUGAGGCACGAAAGUGCGGGGAUCGAACAGGAUUAGAUACCCUAGUAGUC